CCUACGGGAGGCAGCAGUAGGGAAUAUUGCUCAAUGGGGGAAACCCUGAAGCAGCAACGCCGCGUGGCGGAUGAAGGUUUUCGGAUUGUAAACUCCUUUUGUUAGAGAAGAUAAUGACGGUAUCUAACGAAUAAGCACCGGUUAACUCCGUGCCAGCAGCCGCGGUAAUACGGAGGGUGCAAGCGUUACUCGGAAUCACUGGGCGUAAAGAGCGCGUAGGCGGGAUAGCAAGUCAGAUGUGAAAUCCUAGGGCUUAACCAUAGAACUGCAUUUGAAACUGGUAGUCUAGAGUAUGGGAGAGGUAGGUGGAAUUCUUGGUGUAGGGGUAAAAUCCGUAGAGAUCAAGAGGAAUACUCAUUGCGAAGGCGACCUGCUAGAACAUAACUGACGCUGAUGCGCGAAAGCGUGGGGAGCAAACAGGAUUAGAUACCCGUGUAGUC
rnacentral:rRNA from 1 species